AUCUAAAAGUAUUUAACAAACACCGAAAGUAUUCCUCAAGCGAAAUAUUAUAAAUGCUUCCAUUACUAAAAAAUAUCAACUACAUACUACACUAUACUUCAUUGUAUUUGCAAGUAUAUACAUAUGACCAAAAACACAAAAUAUUCACUGCCCGCCUUCAAUCUCUUCCUUGGUGGACGUCAUCGUUUAAGAAUAUUGUCCCUAUUAUUAAGAAAAACACAUGAUCACUUUGACAAUUCUCAUAAUGUAAUGCUUAAUAGAAAAGAGGGUGACAUAAAGCACAUAAGACUAAAUCAAUGAAAAUAGUUUCAGCAUAUUCAAAGAUAAAUCUUAGCAACACUAUAAAGAAAGUUUCAAUACUCCCAAACCUAAAUUAGUAAAUCUUUUGUUAUCACAUGGCACACGUAAUCCAGGGGUUCAAUGAGAACUCUUUUAAGCUUCAUCAUCAAUUUAGCAGUUCAAUCAUGCAAUAACAUGUGAAAGUAUAGCAAACUUAAUAAAGAAAUUGAUUUGAUAAACACCCCAAACAACAUAACUAAGAAUAAAGCAAUAAAAAAGAGCACUGAAUUUUCUUAAGAUAGUAUUGUGCACAAAUAAAUAGCCAGCAAUUCUUACAAGAGUUCUCUUAAAGUGAAAGCAAUGAGUUAACAAGUUACUUUUAUCCAUCUGCACCCAAAUUUACCCAGAUCAAUUGCAUAGGUAUCAUAGCACUAUGGUAUCCAGAGGCCAGGAGGAAGCAUAUAGAAUUUUCUUUACCUUAAUAUGUUGAAAAUGUAGAUAAACGUAAUGAUAAAAGUGAUAUAGACUAAUCUUCCCAACCUUCGAUCAUAUCCAAAGUUCACCAGGAAACAGGCAAAAAGUUGCAAAACAAACAAGUAAGCUGCCACAUUAGACUAGACUAUGCGUAAAACACAACUACUGAUAUCCCUACCAAACAACCAUCUCAAAACAUCCAUAUCCUCUUCAAAAUAAAAAUAGCAAUACAACUUUUACCUAACAGAAUCAUUUAAUGAUCAGGUUAAAUCACAUUGUAACAUUCUAACUGCAUUUAUAAGCAUUUAUAACUUGGUAGUAAACUGGGAGUUUGGCAAAUUUGUAGGUUUAGGAAAAUCAACAACUAUAUGUUAAAUUGAAGCUAUAUUUAGCAAUAGGCAGUGAUUAAAGCUAGAUUCAUUAAAGAAGUUGAUAUAAAGGUUAAUUAUCUGGAUUAAGUCUCUUAAAUAGGACACAAAUUCAGCAAUAUCAUUUCUUUUGCAAUUUCCACACUUUAUAAGAAUCCUAGAAACCGUUCCUCAACUAGUCUCCUCUUACACCAAUGCUUAACUGGAACAAGGUGUUCAUACACCCUUUACAAGGAUAUGGAAUCAUAAUGCUCACCCUUGGUUGACUGAACACCCGAUUGAGAAGGCCGCCGACUCCAUCUCUAUACCUUUGCCAAUUCUAUUCCUAAUAUUCAACCAACUUUUAUUCAUUCCUAUUUUUUUUAAAAGGCAAUCAGUUAAUUAAUUCAAAGAACAAAGACAACAAUAACAAAAUUUUAUAAGGGCCGGAACCUAGACACAUUUUUGAACUAGUAAGACUAACCAAUAUUAAAGUUAUGUUUCAAGUAUGCUAAACAAAACUUGACAACAAUAAACACAUGCAAAAAAUGAAACCAAAUCAUACAACUUGAAUCAUAACUGAGAUGAUUUCAAAUUAUGCAGAAAUAAAAAACUAUUAGAAAAAUAACUUAAAGACGUCGAUUGAACAAUCAGAAGAUGACAAGAUUUGAAGCAUUAGUAUGCUCUGGUAAGAACAGACGUGAGUGGCGAUGGUGGAUGUUCAGAGAAGGGGAAGACUAUUACCUCCUCCUCCACCUAGAAGCCCACUUGGUCCACCUCCCACUAGAUUUUCUCCCCGCCUCAAUCCAGUCGAUCAUGAGAAGACUUGUCCUCCGUUACUUCGUGUUUUCAAUAAGAAUAGAAGCCAUCAUAGUGGCAAUGAUUGCUGUGAGAGGCAAGCAAUCCAAAGAUGAGGGCAAAAUCUACACAUGGAAGGAUGGUACUUUGGUUUGCCAUUACAGCUAAACACAUUAAAGAACCAUAUCAGUACUCCAAUACAAUCAAAUAAUUUCUAAAUGGAAAGGAUAAAACACAAAUAAGGCAUUCACCACCAAUAUAAAUGUUAAGAUUUUUUUAUAGCAUUCGAAUCCUUGAACUGUUUUAAAACUAACUAAAUUCUGCAGCUCUAUUAGCUACAGGAAGAAAGCUUACAGAUGAUAUGAAAAUAGAACACGAACAAGACCAAAAUUAUAGGAAAAUGAACUCAAAUAAGACCAACAAUACAAGAUACCAAAACUAUCCAAACCAUAAAAUGAUUCCUAAGGACAAGAUCUUUGAGUUGUAUAAGGCUAGAAAUACGACAUGAAUUAAGAGAAAAAUAUGUUCACCAGACAAUAUAACAACAAAAUCAUCUCUAGUCGUGACUUUUAGAUGGAAAAUAGGACCCAAAAUCCAUAUCACUAAACCACCAAGUCAGACAUGGGUUAAUUUUUUUACCCAGCAUACAGUCACAAUAACAACACCAAAAGGUAUAAGAUAUCAAAAGAGAAAGUUUCAGAUUACGGAGAUACCAAAAUUUCGCUGACUCCUCACCGCCGAUAAGGGCUUCAAACAAGACAUUGCUCCUGUAGAUUUUCAAAUGGGUCUGAGAAAUUGGAGGUGGAACCUGAAUAUACAAAUGUGAAAUGAGUGAUUUGAGAAAACAACAUGUACCACCGAAGAAGAUUUGUGAUUUGAGCUUUUGAGUCUCUAACAUACCUGAAAAAGUCAC
rnacentral:lncRNA from 1 species